rnacentral:rRNA from 1 species
UCGGGAAUAUUGCGCAAUGGAGGAAACUCUGACGCAGUGACGCCGCGUGCAGGAAGAAGGUUUUCGGAUUGUAAACUGCUUUAGACAGGGAAGAAAAAAGACUGUACCUGUAGAAUAAGCUCCGGCUAACUACGUGCC